rnacentral:rRNA from 1 species
UAAGGGAUAUUGCGCCAAUGGGCGAAAGCCUGACGCAGCAACGCCGCGUGCGGGAGGAAGGCCUUCGGGUUGUAAACCGCUUUUCUGGGGGAAGAGGAAGGACGGUACCCUGGGAAUAAGUCUCGGCUAACUACGUGCCAGCAGCCGCGGUAAAACGUAGGAGGCGAGCGUUAUCCGGAUUUACUGGGUGUAAAGCGCGUGCAGGCGGUGACGCAAGUCGUGCGUGAAAGCGCUCUGGCUCAACCGGGCGAGGACGUGCGGAACUGCGUCACUAGAGGCAGGUAGAGGCGUGUGGAAUUCCGGGUGUAGUGGUGAAAUGCGUAGAGAUCCGGAGGAACACCAGUGGCGAAGGCGACGCGCUGGGCCUGACCUGACGCUAAGACGCGAAAGCAUGGGGAGCGAACGGGAUUAGAUACCCGGGUAG